GACGAACGCUGGCGGCGUGCUUAACACAUGCAAGUCGAACGGAAAGGCCCUGCUUUUGUGGGGUGCUCGAGUGGCGAACGGGUGAGUAACACGUGAGUAACCUGCCCUUGACUUUGGGAUAACUUCAGGAAACUGGGGCUAAUACCGGAUAGGAGCUCCUGCUGCAUGGUGGGGGGUGGAAAGUUUCGGCGGUUGGGGAUGGACUCGCGGCUUAUCAGCUUGUUGGUGGGGUAGUGGCUUACCAAGGAUUUGACGGGUAGCCGGCCUGAGAGGGUGACCGGCGACAUUGGGACUGAGAGACGGCCCAGACUCCUACGUGAGGCAGCAGUGGGGAAUAUUGCACAAUGGGCGGAAGCCUGAUGCAGCAACGCCGCGUGUGGGAUGACGGCCUUCGGGUUGUAAACCGCUUUCGCCUGUGACGAAGCGUGAGUGACGGUAAUGGGUAAAGAAGCACCGGCUAACUACGUG
rnacentral:rRNA from 1 species